CCACCGUUGGGAAUUGCGUGGAAAACGAAACAUAAACGGAAUUUAUAUAAUUUAACAUAAACGGAAUUAGAUAAUUUAACAUUCAAUUUUAAUUCCCAAAAGGAAUUAAAAUUGAAUGUUAAAUUAUCUAAUUCCGUUUAUGUUAAAUUAUAUAAAUUCCGUUUAUGUUUCGUUUUCCACGCAAUUCCCAACGGUGG